AAUCCCACUCAAACAGUUGGAUAUGCCAGAAGAGGCUGGUGGAAAGCUCGGCGGAUCAGUGCUCCACCUCCACACCCACUGCAGAAUGAAAACUCAGCUGAGCUGGUUGACAGCUCAUCUUGGCCUUCAAUUUUUUUCAGUGCUGUCGAAGACAAGGGUAUGCUGAUCUGCAUGCAGGAUGUGGCUGAUGGUGCUUGAUGGAAUCAAUAGCUAGAGGCCACGAACUUAUCUAUCACCCCUCGUACAUUGAUUGUAUUGAAAAUGGAUAGAUUUCUGGAUACAAAAGGAAUCAAGGAAUAUAAGGAGGGAUUAGGAACAAGGAGCUGAGGCCAGUGUUCUGCACAGUAGUUUUUCAUUGCUCCCACUCGCUUGAAAUUGGAAUCAAGCCGGAUGGAAAAUAUACGUAUUCACAUGCUUCCAGCAGGACCCAAUCCAGACCAGGGCAUCUUCUUGCAGGACAUAACCCAGGCCACAGCAACUUCAUAUGGGACCUGAUCCAAUCCAUGGUAACUUCAUGCAGGGCCUGAUCCAGACCACAGCAACUUCUUCCUGUGCUUCCUUGACCAGGGCACCCUUUUUUGUAAUUCUGCUCCUUUCCUAUGUUGGCGACUAAGGUGUUGCUGUACCCUGACUACUCCACACAGGACGAAAUUUGCGUUCCAGCAGCAGACUCAGUCCUUUGCUCAAUUGUGUGCAGACUAGAAUUUAGGACUGAUCAGCUACCAGGGCUGAGUUCCUUUCUCCCAUAUAACAAAGUCAAGGGUUAGCCUUCUUGGUGGAACCUCUAAAUAACUGUCGUCUCCAAUAAUAAAAUAAAAUAUCUGGACCCACACUCUUAUGACUCAAUCGCAUUUUAUUUUAC